rnacentral:tRNA from 1 species
AGGGUUGUGGCUCAGAGGUAGAGCACUUGCCUAGCAUGCAUGAGGCACUGGGUUUGAUCCUCAGCACCACAU